rnacentral:snRNA from 1 species
GGAUGUGAGGGCGAUCUGGCUGCGACAUCUGUCACCCCAUUGAUCGCCAGGGUUGAUUCGGCUGAUCUGGCUGGCUAAGGCGGUGUCCCCUUCCUCCCUCACCGCUCCAAUGUGCGUCCUCCCCGGCAGCCUGCGCGCGUCAGUUCAAAGAGGACGACCAUCCCCGAUAGAGGAGGACCGUUUUUCGGUCAAGGGUAUACGAGUAGCUGCGCUCCCCUGCUAGAACCUCCAAACAAGCUCUCAAGGAGCAUUCUUUUUUUUUUUCUUUUAUUAUUCAUAUGGGCAUACAGGGCUUGGGUCAUUUCU